rnacentral:rRNA from 1 species
UAGUGGCGGACGGGUGAGUAACGCGUGGGAGUCUGCCCUCAGGAGGGGGAUAACGGUUGGAAACGACCGCUAAUACCCCAUAUGCCGAGAGGUGAAACGAAAUUCGCCUGAGGAUGAGCCCGCGUCUGAUUAGCUAGUUGGUGGGGUAAAGGCCUACCAAGGCAUCGAUCAGUAGCUGGUCUGAGAGGAUGAUCAGCCACACUGGGACUGAGACACGGCCCAGACUCCUACGGGAGGCAGCAGUGGGGAAUUUUCCGCAAUGGGCGCAAGCCUGACGGAGCAACGCCGCGUGAGGGAUGAAGGCCUCUGGGCUGUAAACCUCUUUUCUCAAGGAAGAAGAACUGACGGUACUUGAGGAAUAAGCCACGGCUAA